AUCCUUCGGUUCAUGAAAAUGAUGAUCGGUGCGUUCACGAGCCUUCGUGAGAGGUGCUGCCUUCACUUGUUACGCUGAGCGCCUCAGCCCUUCUGAUC